AUUGAACGCUGGCGGCAUGCCUUACACAUGCAAGUCGAACGGCAGCACGGGAGCAAUCCUGGUGGCGAGUGGCGAACGGGUGAGUAAUACAUCGGAACGUGCCCAAUCGUGGGGGAUAACGCAGCGAAAGCUGUGCUAAUACCGCAUACGAUCUACGGAUGAAAGCAGGGGAUCGCAAGACCUUGCGCGAAUGGAGCGGCCGAUGGCAGAUUAGGUAGUUGGUGAGGUAAAGGCUCACCAAGCCGUCGAUCUGUAGCUGGUCUGAGAGGACGACCAGCCACACUGGGACUGAGACACGGCCCAGACUCCUACGGGAGGCAGCAGCGGGGAAUUUUGGACAAUGGGCGAAAGCCUGAUCCAGCCAUGCCGCGUGCAGGAUGAAGGCCUUCGGGUUGUAAACUGCUUUUGUACGGAACGAAACGGCCUUUUCUAAUAAAGAGGGCUAAUGACGGUACCGUAAGAAUAAGCACCGGCUAACUACGUGCCAGCAGCCGCGGUAAUACGUAGGGUGCAAGCGUUAAUCGGAAUUACUGGGCGUAAAGCGUGCGCAGGCGGUUAUGUAAGACAGUUGUGAAAUCCCCGGGCUCAACCUGGGAACUGCAUCUGUGACUGCAUAGCUAGAGUACGGUAGAGGGGGAUGGAAUUCCGCGUGUAGCAGUGAAAUGCGUAGAUAUGCGGAGGAACACCGAUGGCGAAGGCAAUCCCCUGGACCUGUACUGACGCUCAUGCACGAAAGCGUGGGGAGCAAACAGG
rnacentral:rRNA from 1 species